GAAAUGUAUGGAGUAACGCUUGCCGUGAGAAGUCAGCAGAGGUCAUAGUAGUGGGACUGUCGAUAUUCCCAUGAAGGAC
rnacentral:ncRNA from 1 species